GAUUCCAAAGAAAAAGCCUGAUGACUGGUGUGAGGACAUCCCAGCCUCAUCUCCAUUAACGAAACUGCAUGAUAGUGACUUCAGAAAUGUUAGUUUUCGAAGGAGGGAAUGCAGAUCA